rfam:Blastocystis sp. NandII AV274scaffold_44, whole genome shotgun sequence.
GGCCUUGUGGUCUAGUGGUAUGAUUCUCGCUUUGGGUGCGAGAGGUCCAGAGUUCGAUUCCCUGCUGGGCCC